AGAGUUUGAUCCUGGCUCAGAACGAACGCUGGCGGCAGGCUUAACACAUGCAAGUCGAACGCACCGCAAGGUGAGUGGCAGACGGGUGAGUAACGCGUGGGAACGUGCCCUUCAGUUCGGGAUAACCCAGGGAAACUUGGGCUAAUACCGGAUACGUGCGAGAGCAGAAAGAUUCAUCGCUGAAGGAUCGGCCCGCGUCUGAUUAGCUAGUUGGUAGGGUAAUGGCCUACCAAGGCGACGAUCAGUAGCUGGUCUGAGAGGAUGGCCAGCCAGACUGGGACUGCGACACGGCCCAGACACCUACGGGUGGCAGCAGCAAGGAAUCUUCCCCAAUGGACAAACGUCUGAGGGAGCAACGCCGCGUGGAGGACGACGGCCUUCGGGUUGUAAACUCCUUUUCUCAGGGAUGAAACGGACAGUACCUGAGGAAUCAGCCCCGGCUAACUCUGUGCCAGCAGCCGCGGUAAGACAGAGGGGGCAAGCGUUGUCCGGAUUUACUGGGCGUACAGCGCGCGCAGGCGGUGCCGUAUGUGCCAUAUGACAUCUGGGGGCUCAACCUCCAGGGGUUGUGGUACACAGCGGCGCUGGAGGGAUGGAGAGGGCAGUGGAAUUCCCGGUGGAGCGGUGAAAUGCGUAGAGAUCGGGAGGAACACCAGCGGUGCAGACGGCUGCCUGGCCAUUACCUGACGCUGAGGCGCGAUAGCGUGGGGAGCAAACGGGAUUAGAUACCCCGGUAGUCC
rnacentral:rRNA from 1 species